rnacentral:tRNA from 1 species
GGGCCGUUAGCUCAGUUGGGAGAGCAGCUGACUCUUAAUCAGCGGGUCCGGGGUUCGAGCCCCCGACGGCCCCCCA